ACUUUACAAAGUCAUCAAGAAACUUCCCUGCUCUGAGUCUCCAGUGCUCUUAUCAUGAAGAAGUGGGGAUCGUCAUUUAUCACUCCAGGAAGAAGUUCGUGAUGAAAACACUGAAGCUCAUUCUUUAAUGACCUCCACAGUUGCCCAGCUACCAAAUGGUGAAGCCUGGAUUUAAACACAGGUUAUUUAACUCAAGAGCCAACAUAUUAACCAUUCAGCAUUCUCUAAAAGAUUAAGACGGACAUCUUCUGCCCCCAGUGUCACUAGUCUCAUUUUGGUGAGCUGCUUGCUAGUCUUUCCUUGAAGGCAGAGAGAAAAUUUCCAGAACUAGAAAGAGUCUUAGAGAUGAUGCCACCCAGACUCUUAUUUUGCCACAGGAGAGCAGGAGAUUGAGAAAGAUGAAGGGAUAUUCCAAGGCCGAACAGUGCUUUCCAUUUGAGGCUACCAGAAAGAAGACAAACACAACCCUCAAAGCACGAAACCACAGCCAUGAAGGGUCAAAGCCAUUCCCAAGAAGCUAGAGGGCCGUUUGGAGCUUUAGUCAUGCCUUCUGAGAUGCUGCCUGCUGCUCCCUGCUGCUCUACGUGGGAGGGAGUGGAUGACUGCCUAUGACAUGCCUUCUCCAUGCAGCUAGAGGAGUCUAUUUCAAUUGGACAAGCCAAGAUGAGGUGAGAGCUUCAUCUACACCAAGCUUAAUGCUCACCUUCAACUUCGUUGAUUGCAAGACCACCCACCAAUACCAGCCAAAAUCAGCACCAUCACAGUAAAUCAACACGCCAAACUCCUGCCACUUGACACCACUACACUCAGUAUAAAGCUGUGGUUCUCAACCUAUGGUCUCAUCUCCUUUUUAAUGAUCCUUUCACAGAGGUCACCGAAGACCAUCAGAAAACACAGAUAAAUUUACGUUGUUAUUUAUAUCCAUAGCAAAAUUACACUUAUGAAAUAGCAAUGAAAAUAACUUUAUAGUUAGGGGCCACCACAACGUGAGGAACUGUAUUAAAGGGUCAAAGAAUUAGGAAGGUUGAUAACCACUGAUAUAAAGCUUUGUUCAAGGGUCAAGAAGUAGCCUGAGAGAAAGGUUAAAA